rnacentral:lncRNA from 1 species
CUGGCAGCGGCUGGAAGCGGAGGCCCAUGCUGGCGCAGACGCUGCGCGCGGGGGUCCUGGGGCUCUCCGUCCUGCUGCUGGCGGCCGAGUGGAGCGCGCCUCAGUGCGGGGAAGCUGGGGACCGGGCGCCUCUCAUGCUCACCCUUCCAACACCCCAACCCGCCCACAUGCCCCGGGACGAGCCUGCCAUCCUUGCAGGAGCAGGCAGCCUGUCUAUGGCUGGGCACAGGGCUGCGCGCCAGUGCGUGCACGGCCACCCCACCCACCGGCUGAGCACCUCAGCCCAGUCCUUCGUGGAUCCCCCCGGGUGCAUGAUCCUCCUGAGGAGCCGUCUUUCGGCCCAUGGAUGCAUGCUUCCCUGUGCAUGAGACCCCCACGGAUGCACGAUCGCCCCGCGAAUGCACCAUCCUCCGUGAAUCCAUGGUCCCCGGAAGGAUGCAUCAUGCUCUCCUGGAGCCUGGGCAUGCGUAGCACCCCCUUCCCUGCAGAAAGGCCUCCUGGAAUCAGCCAAGUGCUGCUAGUGCGAUACUUGCUGAACGCCAGCGUGGGUGCGCUCUGCUCUCCCACCACCGCGGCCGGCCUGGGGGUCUCGGCGACGGGCACCCUCGCUGGUCCCAGUCUCAGAGCAGCUCCUCCUCUUCUCCUGCAGCCCACGGUCCAACCUGCAUUCACCAUGCGGGGCCUCUGCUUCGUGCUCCUGACCUGCUUCAUCUUCUUUGCUUACUUUGCCACAGCCCAGGUCAUGGAGAUAGACUCAGAAGAGGAGUGCAAGCAGGUUGGUGCCCAGUGUAAAUGGUUUUCUUGCCCAGAUGAUCAUGCACGUCUUGGUACCUGUUGGUUUGGGAUAAAGAAAUGCUGUCGGUAGCUGGGAUGAGCUGAAGAACACAGAGGACAAGGAGCCCAGAGACUGAAAUAAAGGGCUGACUAUAACUCUGAAAGUGCUGUGGCAUUAUUUCCUGAAAAUAAAUAAUUGCCUGUGCUGUG